rnacentral:lncRNA from 1 species
AUGAUUUUUAAUGGUUUCCUUUCUGGAGUCUCUCCUGUCCAUUUCCGUAAUCUCAGGGUUCCUUUCUUCUGCCCCUACAAUAAUGGUUGGGUAACGAAGCAGCAAACUUGGCUGAAGAUUUUUAGGUACUUUCUAAUCGCCUCUGUCAUUGUCAGCAGGGAUUUUAUUCCCACUUUAAUCCCACGGCUGUACUUGGCAGCUUGUAAAUCACACGUGUACGUCAUAAGCAAGGAGCGGAUUGCUUCUGUCUUAAUCUGCAGCCUCUUACUUUUACAACUCCUUUGUAUCAUCAGUCUUUAUUUCCGUCACAAGGAAAAAAACGUCCUCCCCCAGUGGUUGCAUCCAGAUGAAUGUGUUUUAUUCUCGGCAGGAUCAGAGGAAGGCGAUUUACAAGGGUUCUGGGCACUCGGAGCGCACGAGCACUGGGCGACGUGGAGGUGCUGCCUCGGGAUGUAUUUAUGGUGCAGGCUCACUGGCUCGGCUCCACAAAAUUUGUAGUACAGGUUGGUGUGAGGGGGACAAG